rnacentral:rRNA from 1 species
AAAUUGAAGAGUUUGAUCAUGGCUCAGAUUGAACGCUGGCGGCAGGCCUAACACAUGCAAGUCGAACGGUAGCACAAAGGAGCUUGCUCCUUGGG